AUUGAACGCUGGCGGCAGGCCUAACACAUGCAAGUCGAACGAGUGGCGGACGGGUGAGUAAUGUCUGGGAAAUUGCCUGAUGGAGGGGGAUAACUACUGGAAACGGUAGCUAAUACCGCAUACCAUCGGAUGUGCCCAGAUGGGAUUAGCUAGUAGGUGGGGUAAAGGCUCACCGAGGCGACGAUCCCUAGCUGGUCUGAGAGGAUGACAAGCCACACUGGAACUGAGACACGGUACAGACUCCUACGGGCGGCAGCAGUGGUGAAUAUUGGACAAUGGGAGCAAGCCUGAGGCAGCCAUGCCGGGAGAAUGAAGAAGGCCUUCGGGUUGUAGAGUACUUUCAGCGGGGAGGCGUUACCCGCAGGAGAAGCACCGGCUAACUCCGUGCCAGCAGCCGCGGUAAUUC
rnacentral:rRNA from 1 species